CGUAAAGGAGCGUAGGCGGACAUUUAAGUCAGGGGUGAAAUCCCGGGGCUCAACCUCGGAAUUGCCUUUGAUACUGGGUGUCUUGAGUGUGAGAGAGGUAUGUGGAACUCCGAGUGUAGAGGUGAAAUUCGUAGAUAUUCGGAAGAACACCAGUGGCGAAGGCGACAUACUGGCUCAUUACUGACGCUGAGGCUCGAAAGCGUGGGGAGCAAACAGGAUUAGAUACCCCUGGUAG
rnacentral:rRNA from 1 species